CCUACGGGCGGCAGCAGUGAGGAAUAUUGGUCAAUGGACGAGAGUCUGAACCAGCCAAGUAGCGUGAAGGAUGACUGCCCUAUGGGUUGUAAACUUCUUUUAUAUUGGAAUAAAAUGUUCCACGUGUGGGAUUUUGUAUGUACCAUAUGAAUAAGGAUCGGCUAACUCCGUGCCAGCAGCCGCGGUAAUACGGAGGAUCCGAGCGUUAUCCGGAUUUAUUGGGUUUAAAGGGAGCGUAGGUGGAUUGUUAAGUCAGUUGUGAAAGUUUGCGGCUCAACCGUAAAAUUGCAGUUGAAACUGGCAGUCUUGAGUACAGUAGAGGUGGGCGGAAUUCGUGGUGUAGCGGUGAAAUGCUUAGAUAUCACGAAGAACUCCGAUUGCGAAGGCAGUUCACUGGACUGCAACUGACACUGAGGCUCGAAAGUGUGGGUAUCAAACAGGAUUAGAUACCCGGGUAGUC
rnacentral:rRNA from 1 species